UCAGGAUGAACGCUAGCGACAGGCUUAACACAUGCAAGUCGAGGGGCAGCACAGGUAGCAAUACCGGGUGGCGACCGGCGCACGGGUGAGUAACGCGUAUGCAACUUGCCUAUCAGAGGGGGAUAACCCGGCGAAAGUCGGACUAAUACCGCAUGAAGCAGGGAUCCCGCAUGGGAAUAUUUGCUAAAGAUUCAUCGCUGAUAGAUAGGCAUGCGUUCCAUUAGGCAGUUGGCGGGGUAACGGCCCACCAAACCGACGAUGGAUAGGGGUUCUGAGAGGAAGGUCCCCCACAUUGGUACUGAGACACGGACCAAACUCCUACGGGAGGCAGCAGUGAGGAAUAUUGGUCAAUGGCCGAGAGGCUGAACCAGCCAAGUCGCGUGAGGGAUGAAGGUUCUAUGGAUCGUAAACCUCUUUUAUAAGGGAAUAAAGUGCGGGACGUGUCCCGUUUUGUAUGUACCUUAUGAAUAAGGAUCGGCUAACUCCGUGCCAGCAGCCGCGGUAAUACGGAGGAUCCGAGCGUUAUCCGGAUUUAUUGGGUUUAAAGGGUGCGUAGGCGGCCCUUUAAGUCAGCGGUGAAAGUCUGUGGCUCAACCAUAGAAUUGCCGUUGAAACUGGGGGGCUUGAGUAUGUUUGAGGCAGGCGGAAUGCGUGGUGUAGCGGUGAAAUGCAUAGAUAUCACGCAGAACCCCGAUUGCGAAGGCAGCCUGCCAAGCCAUUACUGACGCUGAUGCACGAAAGCGUGGGGAUCAAACAGGAUUAGAUACCCUGGUAGUCCACGCAGUAAACGAUGAUCACUAGCUGUUUGCGAUACACUGUAAGCGGCACAGCGAAAGCGUUAAGUGAUCCACCUGGGGAGUACGCCGGCAACGGUGAAACUCAAAGGAAUUGACGGGGGUCCGCACAAGCGGAGGAACAUGUGGUUUAAUUCGAUGAUACGCGAGGAACCUUACCCGGGUUUGAACGCAUUCGGACCGAGGUGGAAACACCUUUUCUAGCAAUAGCCGUUUGCGAGGUGCUGCAUGGUUGUCGUCAGCUCGUGCCGUGAGGUGUCGGCUUAAGUGCCAUAACGAGCGCAACCCUUGCCACUAGUUACUAACAGGUUAGGCUGAGGACUCUGGUGGGACUGCCAGCGUAAGCUGCGAGGAAGGCGGGGAUGACGUCAAAUCAGCACGGCCCUUACAUCCGGGGCGACACACGUGUUACAAUGGCGUGGACAAAGGGAUGCCACCUGGCGACAGGGAGCGAAUCCCCAAACCACGUCUCAGUUCGGAUCGGAGUCUGCAACCCGACUCCGUGAAGCUGGAUUCGCUAGUAAUCGCGCAUCAGCCAUGGCGCGGUGAAUACGUUCCCGGGCCUUGUACACACCGCCCGUCAAGCCAUGGGAGCCGGGGGUACCUGAAGUCCGUAACCGAAAGGAUCGGCCUAGGGU
rnacentral:rRNA from 1 species